rnacentral:rRNA from 1 species
GUGACUAUGCGACGCCGCGUGCAGGAUGAAGGCCUUCGGGUUGUAAACUGCUGUCAGGGGGGAAGAAACCCUUAUAUUUAAAAGAUGUAAGGCUGACAUCACCCCCAAAGGAAGCCACGGCUAACUCUGUGCCAGCAGCCGCGGUAAGACAGAGGUGGCAAGCGUUGUUCGGAUUCAUUGGGUGUAAAGGGUCCGUAGGUGGUCGAGCAAGUCUGAUGUGAAAUCCCAUGGCUCAACCGUGGAACUGCAUUGGAAACUGCACGACUUGAGUACCGCAGAGGUGAAGGGAAUUCCCGGUGUAAGGGUGAAAUCUGUAGAUAUCGGGAGGAACACCAGUGGCGAAGGCGCUUCACUGGGCGGUUACUGACACUGAGGGACGAAAGCAAGGGUAGCAAACAGGAUUAGAUACCCUGGUAGUCCUAGCUGUAAACGAU